ensembl:lncRNA
UUUGUCCUCGCUCAGGGCUUUAUAUAUGCACCCAAACUUGCAAACAUGCCCAAGCAUGUACGUUCGCACGCUCGCACACACCUCCUCAGAAAGGAUAGAAUCCUUUUUUCUGUUCAACUGACACACCACACAAACGGACACUACAGACAGCAUCUGUGGUGAACGGGACAUUUAACAAUCAACUAAAGCACACACAAACAGGAUUUGUUUGUGGAAUCUAUGUAAUCUGCUUUAGGAAUCGAAGAGACACUGUGAUUACUAUAGAUUAUGUUUCAUCGUCAGAAGAAAGAUCAUCCUCAGAAACGGUUACUUCUGGUGGUUGUGGGCGGAGCUAGUUACUUGUUUGCUCUUGUAACCAACGUUCCUCGUGACAACAAAGGUUUUGAAGGUGGAUGUGGCCCACCCAGGGCAUCCAUCAUCAGGAUAGUAGUCUGGUGUUGUUCCUCUCACAACAAGUCUGCCUAUAUAAACUGCAUCGCACGGACCCAAAGCCUAUCUGUCAAGCAGGAAAUCUGGGAUGAUUUUGUAUUGUUCAUUGAACUGCUGACCUUUUCCAAUUCGCAUUGGCUUUUCUUACAAGUACAGCAGCCUAACAGCUUAAGCUAUUUCAGACGGUGAGUGCCUGUCGAUCAAACCCGGGUUUCUGAGGUAAAUGCGAAUGAGGCGUAUGUCACGCCGGCACCACCAAGAACAUUGGCUUCUGGAUUAAAUCUCUUCAUCGCUUGGUGAAAUCAUUGUUUCAGACAUGAUAUCACAACACAACCUGUUUAAAUGUUCCAUCCAGUGUCAUGCUCAUUUCCCUCUUGCCGUCUCUCUCACUCAGCUUUACUGAGAAAUAAUUAAGUGACCUGCGGCUGCCGUCAGUGUUGUUGAGGCCAGCACGCAAACAGAUGUCUUAAUGCCUCUCUGCAGUGUGCAGUGGCUAUGAUGAUGUUUGUCUUGUUAAUCAAAAUCAAAAAUGUCGCUGGUGGUUUCAUUUUCCCAGACCCAUCGUUAAGCCUUCUCCUGGGCUUAUUCAGGAGGACACAGGUUCAGGUGGUCGACAUGGAAAUGCAUCGCCUUGCAUUUGGUGGACGUAGAACUGACGUUUUAAUAUUGUUUCGUAGAAUAUGAAAGUGUCAGCUCUGUGUGUUGCACUGCCGUCUGCAACGUCGUUACAUUUCGCAACCAACUGAGUAAGCCAGGGGUGCCUCUGAGUGUGUUAUACAGCAAAGAAAGCUAUAUUAUUUCAAUAAUGAAUUGUAAGGUUUAGUUUUGUGUACAUUGGUAUUUGUAAGUGUUUAUAUACUGGAAUGUACAAUGGGACUUGCGCAUUGUUCUGUAGCAUUCUAGGUUGUUUGAUUAGACUCAUGAACAUUAUGGUUGUUUAAAUAGUCACAGAUGAUAGGAAGUGGGAGACGUGGACAACUGUAUUCAAGCUUAUGAAAAAUGUUUACCCUUUGUGUCAGUAAUUUUGCUCAUGCUAGAGUUUAUGCUAAUUUCAAUAUUAGCUUCAUUGUUUUUGCCGUGGAAUAUUUAUAUAAGCUAGCACUUUGUAUGAAUUAGGCUGUCACAUCCACAUUUUGUAUUUCAGACUAAAUCAAGUGUCUGUUUAUUAUCUCUCGUGAAUGCGUAGUGAAAUCUGUUUUUAGAUUGUUUUGAAUUUACCAUGGAGAAACCUAUCUAUAAGUUUCAGUGACAUUCUUUCAAAUAUUGCCUUGAUAUUUAGCACAAAGAUAAUAAUGUGUGAGUGUUGAUGAACAUAAAGUCUAGGAAUCCCUCCUCAAGAGUAUUUAUGUAUCCUAUGGCCAUACAGUGUGGAUGAGGUCAGGGGUGUCAUACUCCUUUCACCCCAGAGCCCAUAUUUGGUCUUUGACAAAGUCUAGAGGGCCACAAUGAAAAAGGAUUAGUGUUUCGUGGCAUCAACACCCUUUUUGGUGUUGUUAGUUGUCCUGUUGCAGUCUAGCUCGCAUUUCUAUGGUUAUUAGCUAGUUGAUAAACUAUAUGAAUGUAAUUCCAUGAUCAUUUCUAAACGGUGACGACUGUUCAGUGUAUUGUGAUCUUAUCAUAAAAAAAUAAAAGGAAAUGUUUAUAUAUUUUUUGUUGAUUUUUACUCAAACCACCUGCAGGCCGGAUUAAUCGCCCGGGGGCCAUUUUCGACAACCUUGGUAUUGAGUUUCAUUUCAAGACGUACAGCAACUCAUCAGUAUCUUUGUGUAAUCAUGCUGUAACUAAACUAAUGUAUUUUAUUUUUGUACAAUCCCAUGUCACCUGUGUCAAAAGGUUAUCUUAAUGUUCUUCUGUGUCGCCAUUCAAAGAGCCAGAUGUGAGUGGACACUAGCUGCGUGAGCUGAACAUUGCCGGCUCAGAUUUAGUUUGUCUCUUUGUUUGUUUGUUUUUAGGUGGAAGUUAUUUUGAGUUUUAAAAUUUAGUUUGACAUCAUUUGAUAGGAUCUGGUUCGAAGGGCUUAUUAUUUGACAGGUUUCUCAUGCUGACGUUAGGGUGUUCUAUAGCAUUAUUUUUCGGUUUUUGUUUCAUGUUCCGUAUCUUUCAAAAAGAUACACAAUAAAUGUAUAAUAUCCUUAAA